UCCUAAAAUCUGUCUGGUUAAUCUGAUAUAUUUUGCUUGUGUUUUGCUUCAGUUAAUGAUUGUUUGACUUUGUAUAUGUGAUUAGAGCUGUUAGUAUAUAAUUCUUUCUUUCUUUCUUUCUUGCAACUGGCCUCAUCAAUCAUGUCCAUUACUUUGGAAUGUAAAUUUGCUUAUAUUGGGGAAAAGGACUAGGUCUUUUGGGCUGGGCUGAUGGAAGGGCUAUCUGGAUUUUUCUUAUUUCAAACUGGCAUGUACCUCUUGUUUUUUUCUGUAUCUUCUGCAAGACCUGUUCUUUGGUUUCGUUUUCCUCAUCGUUUGUGGCUUCUGAGCUUUCCGUUGAGAACUCAAUCUGGAGGGAAAGAAUAUGAGAAGAAAGGAAAUGAGAGGAAUCGAGAUGUGGGAGUAGAAUAUAAAUUCAUUCUCUUAUGUUUGGAUGUCAAAUAAAUGAGGGGAUGAAAUUGUAGAGAAAAAUUUAAAAUUAAAUAUUUGUACAUGACUAAGUUCUCUGAGGAGGUACUUAAGGAGAACAUUUUUGUAAUUCAGAACGCCAUCACCAUUUAUUCUAACUUUUUCCUCCCUUGUUGGGGAAAAUGACAAUUAUGAAGUUUACAUGAACUGUUUUUCUCAUUUGCAUUCUUUUUCUUUUUCUUUUUCUUUUCCUAGGACAAGGUAGGAUAACUUCCGCUGCUAAUUUUCCUUUAACACAUUCCAAAUAAAGUUAGAAAAUUUGCUAAUGAUUCCAUUCUAUAUAUGUUUUUCUUGCCUUUGUUAUCAUGGACUAAAUAUGAAAAAUCUGCACAGAAAAUUGUUAUGGGAUGGUGAACUUUUGUUUGGUUUAUUGGUAGAACUGUUAUGAGUCAUUUGUUGCAUUAGUGGGAGAAUUGGGGCAGAGUUGAGACUGUUAAGGUAGUGAUGUGGCGUUCACGAUGAGAAAGUUACAGAAUUGAGCACCCCAGCUGCCAUGGGGCAGGGGGAUUACAAAAUUAGAUGUUUGACAUGACCUGAGUCAAUUACUGUUUCUAAUAACAAUAUCGUUGUUUUCCAGUGAUAUUAUGUUUUUGGUUUUCAAUAUAAAUUGGUCAUUUCAGCUCCAGAUAUCUUCUCCCAUGACUGUAAAGAUUCAUCUAUUAUGCUUUUUCUCUCGUUA